rnacentral:rRNA from 1 species
GACGAACGCUGGCGGCGUGCUUAACACAUGCAAGUCGAACGAAGUGGCGAACGGGUGAGUAACGCGUAAUCAACCUGCUCUUCAGAGGGGGACAAUAGUUGGAAACGUCUGCUAAUACGCCAUAUUGCAGGUGGGGUUUGCGUCUGAUUUGCUAGUUGGAGGGGUAACGGCCCACCAAGGCGAUGAUCAGUAGGCGGUCCGAGAGGAUGGACGGCCACAAUGGGACUGGGACACGGCCCAGACUCCUACGGGGUGCAGCAAGGGGGAAUCUUCCGCAAUGGGCGGAAGUCUGACGGAGCAACUCCGCGUGAGUUAUGACAGCCUUCGGGUUGGAAAGCUCUGUUAAUCGGGACGCGGUACCGGAAUAGAAAGCCACGGCUAACUACGUGCCAGCAGCCGCGGUAAUUC